rnacentral:rRNA from 1 species
UCCUACGGGAGGCAGCAGUCGGGAAUUUUGGGCAAUGGGCGAAAGCCUGACCCAGCAACGCCGCGUGAAGGAUGAAGUUUUUCGGAAUGUAAACUUCGUAAGAAUAGGAAGAAUCAAUGACGGUACUAUUUGUAAGCUCCGGCUAACUACGUGCCAGCAGCCGCGGUAAUA